rfam:Subdoligranulum sp. 4_3_54A2FAA genomic scaffold supercont1.1, whole genome shotgun sequence.
GAUAUGCGUUGACGCGGGAGGUUGCGGCACUUUGUGCCGGUUUUUCCGCCGAGUAUGUCCGAUCAAUGAACCGGGCGA